UACAAUGACCUUUGAUAUAAAGGUCUGUUUAAAAAAGAUAUGAGAAGGAGCUAGACCAACUGACUUAAUUUAAACAGAAAUGGUCGUCUGAUCUCACGGAAAGACUGUGUUAAGAUUAUGACUGGUGAACAAGAGGAGCAGAGGAUUGGAAAUCAAUGAACCAAAAUCGGUGUGUUGGAAAUUAAGCCUGCUUGGUGGACAAAAUAAUGAGUGGCUGGAUUAUUCCACCCAUCGCCUCUUUGGGGACCAUUAAAGAGACUUUAGAGGGGAGACUAAACCUUACUGACAUCACCGCAGCUGCAGUGGAAGGAUUGUUGCCUGCCUGAUACCACACAUUGAUACUCCAAUAGGGACGCUUGACCAUCAGUGCUGCAAAAGCGAGGACCUCAAACUGAUACAUGUUGGUGAGACGAGAGACAGCCCAUCCAGCAUUUCCCAGUCUGAGAAGGAGCAGUGAUUGAGAGGGACUGAGCAGACCAACCAGAUGAUGCCCCUGACCCAGAAGGUGAGCCCGGGUCCAGGGCAACAGCUGUCAUGGCCAACCUGCCAGCAUCCAUCUGUGCCUGGCCAGCCACUCUGUAUCUCAAGAACAUCAACAAAAGCUGAAUUUCCCCCAGCUUUACUGUCCUAUCUCUUCUCUCCCUGUGUGUGUCCCCGAUUUGUCUAAAGCAGGAAAGUGAUGAUUAUUCCCUAUUCAGAAUUGAACAACAGCACUAACCCUUUCUUCCCCACCAAGAAGCACUGUUAGACUGACUGAAUAAGAGACUUUAGCCAAUAUCCACUGUCUCCAAAAAGGGACCUUGCUAGGUUUUGAUUGUUUGUUUUGCAUAAACAGUCAAUUUCAGUGGCAGUGCUCUUUACUUCCUGUGGAUUAUUUUCCUUUUGUGUGUUUCAAUCAAUAAACUUCUGCCCUGUGGCAUGAAUUGAA